rfam:Dipodomys ordii contig_23116, whole genome shotgun sequence.
GGGAAGGUAGCUCAGCUGUAGAGUGCAUGCCUUGCAAGCAUGAGGCCCUGGGUUAGAUUCCUCAGCACCCA